rnacentral:rRNA from 1 species
CGUAGGGUGCGAGCGUUAAUCGGAAUUACUGGGCGUAAAGCGUGCGCAGGCGGUUUUGUAAGACAGGCGUGAAAUCCCCGGGCUCAACCUGGGAACUGCGCUUGUGACUGCAAGGCUAGAGUACGGCAGAGGGGGUGGAAUUCCACGUGUAGCAGUGAAAUGCGUAGAGAUGUGGAGGAACACCAAUGGCGAAGGCAGCCCCCUGGGUCGAUACUGACGCUCAUGCACGAGAGCGUGGGUAGCAAACAGGAUUAGAUACCCUGGUAGUCCACGCCCUAAACGAUGUCAACUAGGUGUUGGGUGGGUAAAACCAUUUAGUACCGGAGCUAACGCGUGAAGUUGACCGCCUGGGGAGUACGGCCGCAAGGUUA